AGUUUUACAGUGACUGUUACAGUUGUGUGUACUGUUUUGUAUUAUUAUAAAGGAUGAGGAGAGAGACGGCCUCUCUUCUAGAAAAGAAAUAUUGUGUCAGUCUUGUUGUUUUGAUCAUCUGCAUCAUCGAGACAAACGACUGAUGUUCAGUUGCCAUGACAACGUCCAUCCAUCCAUUUUUUCCAUCCAUUAUAUAUGUUUGUAUUUAAUUAGCUGCCUCUCCACAGUCUUUCCCAGUGACCCCUUUGAGUUGCUCUGGUUUGGAGUCAUAAACUAUAAAUUUGCCUAUCAAGGACAUUUUAGAUCACUGUGGUCUUUCAAAUCAAGUUCAACCUUUAACUUUAAGAGACACUAAGAGAAUAAUACAGGCAGCAUCAGGACAUGAAUUGGGAAAAAGUAUCUAAUUUGAAUGACAAAAACCACUGAAAACAAAAGCGAGUCAGUGAAUGUUUUGGCCUUUAAAAAAGAAAAAAAAAUACCAUAAUUUCACUCAUAAAACUCAUGAAGUGAAAUCUUGGGGCCUCUCUGACGACCUUUCGACCUCUCGUGCGUUUAUUUUCUUCAUGGCCAAAAAGACCAUUUGUUAUUUUGGUCUCCAACAGGCUGAAUUUCAAAAGCGGUGGAAAUUAAUUUGCUCUGUUCCAUCUGCAGAGUCAUCCAGGAUUUAUUGGGUGCAGCGGUUUCCCCCAAACACAGAGGAACAUAUGAGUCCUUCUCGCAAGAAUUCCCUGAGUCAUUUGACCUGUUUUUCGUUUCAGUGUGCUUCUCGACGAUAACUAAUCGGGCCUGAGGGCUUCACCAUGAAACUGCAACCUUUUUGGGAAUGAAGUGCACAAAUCUGGCCAAUCACGGAUGCCGGUCUCAUUCAGGGGGGUUUCCCAGGAUCCCAGGAACCAAACCACCACAUGUGGGUUCCCCCCGCAUCCCAUCCCCGACCCUGUACGUGACCCGACAGCAGUUCAUCAUUGGAACCGGCCUGUGGUAUCGUUGGAGUCUGACACUGUGUAGAAGUGGAUGAAUCCCGUCAGUGUACCAGGUGUGUGAUAAUGCACGGCCCCAUGCUGCAGAGACCUGAACACCAUCCCUGGAAGCUGAAACCUCACAGCUCUCUACAGCCUCCGUACUCACCAGAUGACAACGUGUUCCACUUCCUGCCAGUAUCCACUAAGUUACGGGAGCGGACCAACGUCCCAGAGGCCACAGAGAUCAACUCUACAAAGGAGACGUGUCACUCUGCAUGAGGUAACGUUGGUCACACCCAUCUGUGGCCUCUCGUCAUGUGAGGUCCACAUUUCAUGUCUAAUUAAUGCCGGUCCAAAGCACACCUGUGCACCAAUCACGGUCUUUGAUCAGCAGCUUUAUAUCCCACACCUGUCAGGUGUAGGAGUAACUCAGCAAAGAAGAAGUGCUCAUUCAUUUUACAUGGAUUUUAUGGAAAUUGGCACCUAAAAACUGAGAGAAGAAACCUUUUUUUGUUCAGUGUAAAUUUCAUUUUAUUAUCUGAUGGAAGUUGAUUGAGGAUGCAGCUUUACAGAAAGUGUUUGGUCCAGUGGUCUGAUCGCCUGAUUUUAAGGAAUUAAUCCAGACAUGAAUCAUGAAGCAUUUCUUCUCACACACACAAAAACACACUUCAAGUGUCCUUUGGCCUGAUACCUGAACUUUCAGUUUAAAAAACCCAUAAUCUCCUCUUUACUGUCAGCAAAAAUAGAGAGGUUAUUUUUCAUCCACAAUAUUUGCUGUUGCUGUAGUCACAGCUAGUGUUUAAUGAUGUCACUGCUUGUCAUUGUCGGGAAACUGAUGAGUGAAUAAAAUCAUAGUUUUCAUACAAUCCUUCAGGAAUAAUGAAAAGCAGGAUUUUCUUCUUUUUUUUUUCU